rnacentral:rRNA from 1 species
CAAUAGCGUAUAUUUAAGUUGUUGCAGUUAAAAAGCUCGUAGUUGGAUUUCGGUUAAGAGCGACCGGUCCGCCGUUUGGUGUGCACUGGUUGGUUUUAACUUCCUGUAGAGGACGUGCUCUGGGUUUAACGACCUGGACUCGGAGUCUACGUGGUUACUUUGAAAAAAUUAGAGUGUUCAAAGCGGGCUUACGCUUGAAUACUUCAGCAUGGAAUAACACUAUAGGACUCCUGUCCUAUUUCGUUGGUCUCGGGACGGGAGUAAUGAUUAAGAGGAACAGUUGGGGGCAUUCGUAUUUCAUUGUCAGAGGUGAAAUUCUUGGAUUUAUGAAAGACGAACUUCUGCGAAAGCAUUUGCCAAGGAUGUUUUCAUUAA